rnacentral:rRNA from 1 species
AACGAACGCUGGCGGCAUGCCUAACACAUGCAAGUCGAACGAGACCUUCGGGUCUAGUGGCGCACGGGUGCGUAACGCGUGGGAACCUGCCCUUAGGUUCGGAAUAACUCCCCGAAAGGGAUGCUAAUACCGGAUAAUGUCUUCGGACCAAAGAUUUAUCGCCUUUGGAUGGGCCCGCGUUGGAUUAGCUAGUUGGUAGGGUAAAAGCCUACCAAGGCGACGAUCCAUAGCUGGUCUGAGAGGAUGAUCAGCCACACUGGGACUGAGACACGGCCCAGACUCCUACGGGAAGCAGCAGUGGGGAAUAUUGGACAAGGGGCGAAAGCCUGAUCCAGCAAUGCCGCGUGAGUGAUGAAGGCCUUAGGGUUGUAAAGCUCUUUUACCCGGGAUGAUAAUGACAGUACCGGGAGAAUAAGCUCCGGCUAACUCCGUG